rnacentral:lncRNA from 13 species
CGCUCGGCUCUGACGCUCACACACACACCGGCUCCGCGGUCAGCGCACUGCGACCCAGAAGCAUCUGAAACCCGUUCGCCGCCGCCCGGGGGGUUUUACACCAACCGGAACUGACUUCACAAAACCAUGCCCUCCUUCUGCGGCUUCCAAUGCCAGCCCGCAGAAGCCCUCAAGACCCCGCCUUCCGUGCAGUCCAGACCCAAUCAGGGAAUGGAAGCGCCUGCUCCUCCCGCCCGGUCCUGCCGCGCGCCCCCGCCCGGCCCCGCCCCCGGCCACGGAAUGCCCCGCCCCCACUCUGGACCCAGUGGCUGCCGGGCGCGGGGGCGUGCGCGCGGUGGGUCCGGAGCCGCAGCUCUGCGGGCGCCGGGCUUCUCCGGCCUCCGCCACCCGGCGCGGUUCUGUGUCCCCGCCGCGCUCGUCCAUUAGCCUGCCGCCUCCCGAUACCGAUGAGUUGCAGAUGAGGCAAGGCACUGAUCACUACGUGGUGACUAACACCACCAUCACGCCUUCAGAUACUGCUAAUUUUGGAAUACCCAGAUUUGCUUCACAUCUUUUCAGAAAACCAGGGUUGUUGUCACCUGCGCUUGCUGGUAUUCUCACACUAAAUUACGUGGUCAAGUGCUGCAGAUACCUGAGAUCUGGCUUGGGACAUCUCCUUACAGUUCCUCAAUUCCACUGAUGGAAGAGGGACAGAAACAGCAGAGGCCUCUUCAUGGCAAUGCCUAUUUACAUAACUUUCUCCUCACUCCAACCCUGGGGAAGCCCCUAGUGUGCCUUUUUUGAGAAUUUUGGCCGACAUUUAUCAUUCUUCAGCUGCCCUCUCCAUAAGAGAUUAUUUUGUGAAAGCUGCUUUAAAAUUAUUUAAAAUGGCUUAAUGCCUAAAGCACACAUUUGUCAUCUGCUAAAGGCUUUUAUAGUUUUACAUAACUUACUCAGUGUUUUUCACUUUGUACUUAUGACCCAAGGCAAUUAUUCCAAAGGACAUACUUUUAUUAAUUGAAAUAAUAAAAUACUUUAUAGGUGUUCCA